AGAGUUUGAUCAUGGCUCAGGAUGAACGCUAGCGGCAGGCCUAAUACAUGCAAGUCGAACGGGGUGUAGCAAUACACCUAGUGGCGCACGGGUGCGUAACGCGUAACCAACCUACCCUUGACUGGGGGAUAGCCCGCCGAAAGGCGGAUUAAUACCGCAUAAACCAGCAGCCCGGCAUCGGGUAAUUGGUAAAGAUUUAUUGGUCAAGGAUGGGGUUGCGUAGCAUUAGCUAGAUGGCGGGGUAAGGGCCCACCAUGGCGACGAUGCUUAGGGGACCUGAGAGGGUGACCCCCCACACUGGCACUGAGAUACGGGCCAGACUCCUACGGGAGGCAGCAGUAGGGAAUAUUGGGCAAUGGGCGAGAGCCUGACCCAGCCAUGCCGCGUGCCGGAUGAAGGCCUUCUGGGUUGUAAACGGCUUUUCUCAGGGAAGAAAAAGACCCUGCGGGGUACACUGACGGUACCUGAGGAAUAAGCACCGGCUAACUCCGUGCCAGCAGCCGCGGUAAUACGGAGGGUGCAAGCGUUGUCCGGAUUUAUUGGGUUUAAAGGGUGCGUAGGUGGCUUGUUAAGUCCGGGGUGAAAGCCCACAGCUCAACUGUGGAACUGCCCUGGAUACUGGCGAGCUUGAGUCCAGACGAGGUUGGCGGAAUGGAUGCUGUAGCGGUGAAAUGCAUAGAUAGCAUCCAGAACCCCGAUUGCGUAGGCAGCUGACUAGGCUGGUACUGACACUGAGGCACGAAAGCGUGGGGAGCGAACAGGAUUAGAUACCCUCGUAGUCC
rnacentral:rRNA from 1 species